rnacentral:rRNA from 1 species
GACGAACCGAGCCUACUUUGUUCGGAAUCACUGGGCUUAAAGGGCGCGUAGGCGGGCUGUCACGUCUGGGGUGAAAUCCCACGGCUCAACCGUGGAACUGGCUCAGAUGCCGACGGUCUCGAGGGAGGUAGGGGCGAGCGGAACUGAUGGGGGAGCGGUGAAAUGCGUUGAUAUCAUCUGGAACUCCGGUGGCGAAGGCGGCUCGCUGGACCUUUUCUGACGCUGAGGCGCGAAAGCUAGGGGAGCAAACGGG